rnacentral:RNase_P_RNA from 1 species
CGCGGCAUGGUAAACCCCACCUGGAGCAAGACCAAAUAGGGGAACAGGCUUUUGCCAGGCGCGGCCCGCGCGGGUUCCCGGGUAGGUUGCUCGAGGUCUGCGGCGACGCAGAUCCCAGAUGAAUGGUUGUCCAAGACAGAACCCGGCUUAUCGGCCGGCUCCCCGC